AUGAUGCCCAGCUUGCUGGGCGGAUUAGUGGCGAACGGGUGAGUAAUACGUGAGUAACCUGCCCUUGACUCUGGGAUAAGCCUGGGAAACUGGGUCUAAUACUGGAUACUACCUCUUGCCGCAUGGUGGGUGGUGGAAAGGGUUUUACUGGUUUUGGAUGGGCUCACGGCCUAUCAGCUUGUUGGUGGGGUAAUGGCUCACCAAGGCGACGACGGGUAGCCGGCCUGAGAGGGUGACCGGCCACACUGGGACUGAGACACGGCCCAGACUCCUACGGGAGGCAGCAGUGGGGAAUAUUGCACAAUGGGCGGAAGCCUGAUGCAGCGACGCCGCGUGAGGGAUGACGGCCUUCGGGUUGUAAACCUCUUUCAGUAGGGAAGAAGCGAGAGUGACGGUACCUGCAGAAGAAGCGCCGGCUAACUACGUGCCAGCAGCCGCGGUAAUACGUAGGGCGCAAGCGUUGUCCGGAAUUAUUGGGCGUAAAGAGCUCGUAGGCGGUUUGUCGCGUCUGCUGUGAAAGCCCGGGGCUCAACCCCGGGUCUGCAGUGGGUACGGGCAGACUAGAGUGCAGUAGGGGAGACUGGAAUUCCUGGUGUAGCGGUGAAAUGCGCAGAUAUCAGGAGGAACACCGAUGGCGAAGGCAGGUCUCUGGGCUGUUACUGACGCUGAGGAGCGAAAGCAU
rnacentral:rRNA from 1 species